rnacentral:ncRNA from 2 species
GCAGAGUAGGUUGCCGCGCGUUAUGCCGCCCGUUCCCGGGCGGUGAGUGCCGUCCGGUCAGGGAGAUCGUCGGGCGGACGAAAAGCCUCGCGCUUGCGGUGCGGUACCCGAAUCCCGCUGC